UGUGUACUCCCUCCAUUCCAAAAUACUUGACUUCCAUUUUUCCAAAAAUGGAUGUACCUAUAUACUAAAACAUGUCUAGAUACAUAUAUAUUUUGACAAAUAGAAGGCAUGUAUUGUGCAAUGGAGGGAGUAGAAU
rnacentral:pre_miRNA from 1 species